UUCCCUAACCAUAAAAUAACUAUCCCAUUAUUGUUCUAUUCUAUUCCAUGUGCCAGCAAAGAGAUUUUACACAAGAUAAAAGAGGGUAAUAAAAAAAGAACGAAAAUUCUUGAGUGAAAGAAUAAACAGUUACAGAUGCAUGCACAAAGAAAGCCCUAAGGGCAGGGAGAGAGGGUGGAUGGGUAGGGAAGAACCUGGAGGACAAGUCUCAUACUAAAUCAAGGAAAAGAUACCAACAAUGCACACAAGACAAGAAUUUACAGCCUUUCCUUUGACACCCCCUUCCCGCAGACAUCUAACUGCAAAUACAAAUCAUCAAAAUACAAUGAAAAAGUCCCCACUCAAGCUCUUUGCUGGACUAGAUAUCUUACAUCCAAAAAUUUUCAUGAUGUCAGCUUCAACCCCCACUAAGAAAAAAGGCGCACGGGGCCAAACCAUCAAUUCUACUUGCCGUUGCAGCACUAUAGAUCUCUUGUAUCAAAAGGUCUUCAAAUGAAUAUUUUCAUAUAUGAUUUGUUAAUAGAAUCUUGAUUGGCUCAAAUUAAAUUUUGGCAAAGCCCUGUGAUGAUUUUUUUCUCUGCACAUCCUCUGAUCUUGCUUACCAUUACAAUGCAGUACAGCUUAGCCAGUUCAACUGUAGCAACCAUAGAAGAUAUCAGGAACGAGACUAAGAAUGAUAAUAGAAAUAAUGAAUACUUCUUCCACCAACAUCUUUGCAGGUAUUUGUGAUUAUCGCAAUGUCCUGGGAGAACACUGGAAUUGACAUUUAUCAUCCUUCGAUUUGCGAAUUUCUCCAAAUCGAUCAUAACAACCUAGAUUAACUUGCAUUGCCUUUCUACUCUUGAGCAACAAAAUUUUACAUGUAUUGUGCCAACCAUUGUUUACACAUAUCAAGCACCGGGAGUGCAUUUGCAUGUAAUGCCUGAUGAGCUACAUAUUGAACAUCAGCAACACUUCCACUUCGAGAUGCUAUCUGAAAUGCACUUUUUAGACGACCACAGACAACACAUGCCAACACCUUCCUAUGACUGCUGGUUAACAUGUCGAUGAGACGGUCAGGGCGUUCUUUGUGUUUAUUUGCAUACACAUUUAUUGCAGCCCCCAAGACCUGAUCCCAAUCAUCAUCAUCUAUGGUUCCUUUUAUGUUUCUAAAAAACUCUGUCAACUGGCUGCCUUUUUUCCUCUCAGCUAGUGAUGCAGCAACACCAGCAUAUAUAUCAACAGCUGGAAGAUUAAAUUCAUAAAUUACUUGGAAAGCCAAAUCAAAGUUCUUCUCCACUAGCUUCUCCGCAAUCUCACACCUCCUCCUGAACGUUUCUGGAUCAUUUGGAUUUCCAAAAAGUGAAUGUUUCCACUGUGGCCCAUCUGGAUCAUUUGAGGAUUUCACAACUUCCAGCUGGAUUGAUACUCGAGCAGAAAACUUGACAAGUCCUUCUUCAGUGAGCUUCUCGGACGCACUUUUUCCUCUCACACCCUUUGUGACAAGUUUAGUAGAUUCUCCACCUUUAUAUCGAGCAGAUAGUCCUUCAUCAAAGUGCAUCUUUGCAUGUUCCAAGUGUUUAACAGCUUCCUCUUGGGAAAAUGAAUUCAUAAACAAUUGAAUACAGCAAAGUCCAGCAGCAACAUAGUCCUUCUUGAUUACCUGAAACUUGUAUAGAUAAUUGAAAUGCUUAUGAGUUUCACAGUAGCUGCAAAUACGGGCAAGGGCAGCUGCAGCAUGCUGGUAUACUGCUAAAUCCUCCUGUUUUGCAGAUGCCAUUCUUGUUGAAAUCACUUCCUCAAGAACAGACAUUGCACCAUAACCAAUACACAAGUCACAUAAAUCAUCAAUAGUCCCAUAAUCAGUAGCUAAAGGAUCAGGUCUUUGAGGUGAUGAAGAUGAAGCUACUACUCCCAUGGCUGAAGGUUGAGGUGGCGGAGGAAUAGCACUUGGAGGAAAGAACAACAUGCAGGCAUCAGUAUAGUGACCAUGACUGAACAUAAAUCCAAGCAAAUGCUGACGAGUAUAUUCUUGUAAGUAAUUAACACACUCAACAUAACGAACGCUGUCCAGAUUGCUGCGAGGUCCAUCUUCAAAGUCAGAGUUAUAUGCUGAAUUAUUGUUUUUAGAUUCUUGAGAUGGCCUGGAUCUUUCUGAACGUGGAAAUGUAGAUGGCAUGUACAGAACAUUGAGAUAUGAAUCAGCAGAAAGUGAAUCAUCCAAGAUUGUUGGAGCACUUCUAGCCAAAUGUUCAUACAUAGAACGAACAGCCGACACAUCUACUGGUGGGCCCCCUUCAAUUGUAUUAAUGAUCUCUAGAAUUACAGGUGCUGGGUCCCCCUUGUACAAUUGAAGAGCUUGCUUGAACUUUACACGAGCUUGCGCAUAGUGCUCCAUCCUAAUCAAAGCAUGUCCCCAUGCAUUCCACACAGGGAAAACAUCAAUCUUACACUUCUUGCAGGUGUAUACAGCCAUACUGUACCGUUCAUCAACAGUCAACCUGUCACGGAGACGGGCAGAUGACUCUUUAUCAGCAAUAUCAUCAAGAGAAGCAGCAAUUCCAGAUCCCAAGAGGCUUUGAAGCAACUCAGCACGUCCUAGCCAAAUGUCUGCCAGUGACAAGAUUUCAGAUAGCUCAUCUGUGGACUGACUACCCAAACUAGAGCUACCAGCAUCUGAAGAUGCAUCAUCUGCAUCCUUACUUCUUUCAGAAUUACUAGACAAGUCACUCCCACCAACAAGCUUCCUCAACAAGGAUCUAGAAUAAAGUAGCCCCUGUACAAAUGUCUCAGUGGCAUGAUAUGCCCGACCAAUUGUUUCCAUGGAUGCAUUCUCAGGUAACUGAUGUGAGUUCAACACAUUCUUCAUCUGAUUCAUGCACAAGUCCAGAGCACUUUUGGCAGACACCAACUCAUCAGAAGACAAUGAAAGUAGAGCCUUAAACAGUAUAAUAUCAGGAGCACUUUCAUAUCGAUGUGCUGCACGAACGGCCUCAUCUUUACUAGGAUCACCUGUUAGUAUCCAUUCCUCAGCGAUAGAAACAGAAGGAAGCCGUUCCUGUCCAUCUGCAGAAUAUGACAAAACCCGAUCCUCUUGAAUUCCAGCCAUUGCUUCCCAAGCAACUCUUUCAGAUGGUGGCAAUCCAGAACUCUUUCUCUUACGAUAUACGUCUUUCGUAGCAUUCUUGUCUCCAGUAUUCCGUGGGGCCCAGGAAAAAGCUCUGCGAGCUUCUUUUUGCAAGUUACUUAAGCUGCUACUAAAUGAUGACCUUGCAGGCGCACCUGUUUUUGUUUUUGGUUUCGGUCUUGCUCCAGACACAGAAAUCCGAGGUUCUCUGGAGGGAGAACUUAUACUUACAGCAAUAGCUUUAGCAGCAUAUGAAAUAAUGACACUAUUGUCUCUCAGUGAUGGAAAUUCUUUAAGGAUCAGAGCAGCAGAUUGCAGCUGUUUCCUCAUCAGUAGAACCUCCAGUAUUAGAUGUGGAUGCUCAUGCAAAGAAGAGCAUCUUUGCUGCCAUGGCAAUGGCAAGGCAGCAAGAACACGAAGUCCUAAAGCCCAUGAGUUAAGCCGCGCAAUCUCGACAUCUGACAGAUUCCCAUCUCUUCGUUUAAGGAAGAAGUGAACAAGAAGUUGUUUUGAGCGUAGAUUUGGUAAUAGCUGCAUUGCACCCAUUGCAACUGGUAAAGCAUCAUCAGAGUCACGUAAUGAAGAAAGAAAGCGUGAUGCUUCUGCAGGACCUCCACCAUUAAGAGGGUCUGCAGUGAGAAGCUUCACAAGUUGCCGACCCUGAAGUUCUCUUCGCAAAGCUAUUGAUAACCCUGAACUCUCAGCCACUUCUAGAGCAGCAGAAACAGCUCCUUUCCCAGCCAAUCUAAGUGCUAAUCCUUCAGGAUCUACCUUACACUCCGCUUCAACCUCUUGCCAGCUACUAUAAUGAUCAUCAGAGCUCAAUAUAUGGCUGUACCUCUGCAAAGCUUGUCUUGUUUGCAAUACCUCAUUCCUAACUGGAUCAUUGUCUGGCAGGUGGCAGCUGCACAUUGUGAGUACAUCUAGAGCAGGAUCAAGUUCCCACCUAUGCAUAUACUUGAGGGCAAGUCUAGCUGCCAAUUGUUUAUUCUUCAAACGCAAGCAAUACUGCCAGCUAUUGCUCCAGAUGCUUUGGCCUCCAUAACCUUGAGGCUGGCCAGGCACUGGAUGGUUUUCUUCUCCACGUUCAAUGAGUAGUUGGAGUAACAGGUCUGAGGCUCCCUCACGUAAAUAGCGGUCCGAAAGUGCAAGAGCAUCCAUCAGUUUCCCUUCACCAACCAAUCGCUCUACAGCUUUCUCAUAGGGUUCUUCAUUUUCCCAAUCCAAUGAAAGAUAUACUGUAGCAUCAAGUUCAACAGUAUCAGAUUUUGAGGAAUCCUGCUGUGGAUCAGGGGCUGCAACACCUUCACUGCUAAGGUCUGGCAAGGCCUUCGAAAGAUUACUGCCACUGACAAUGUCAUCAACUUCCAACUCAGUAUCACUAUCAUGCUCAUGAAGUCUCUUAAUGGCAGUUCUUGUAUCAGUUUUAACCUCAUCAUUAUUAGCCUUAUGCUUAGAUGUUACAGCAAAUUCUGAAACUCGAUGUCGAUUGGUUUGCAUUUGUAUCCAUCGGUUCAAAGUUGGGAACCUCUCAGAUUGAUCAAGAGCAAACUCAUAAAAUAGUCUGUCACUAUCAGGUGCUGGCAAUAAUCCAUCAUCGAAGGAACUAGAUAUAGCAGAGUCACUACCACUAUUUAAGAUACCACUCCCAAAAACACACGCUAACACAGCCCUCACUGGGGAUAUUUUAACCAAAUGUUUUACAAUAUCCAACUGGAGAGGGUAUAGAGGCACUCCAGGUGUUGCUGAGGAGCGACUAUAGCAAUUAGGCCUAGCUUCUUUAAAGGAUGUGGGAAGUAAUUUAUUAUCCGAGUAACUUUUAGAGUAAGAAGGAAUGACAGGAAUGCAUGCCCAUCCACGACCAGAUCGUGGUGGAUAAACAGGUGGUACACAUGCUGAUAUAACUUCAUGGACAAAAUCAGCACACAUAAUCUCAGCUACCUUUCCAGCUGCAUCAGUGCUGCCUCGGUCAAAGACCAGACGAGUUAGAAGAUCUUUAGGCCACUCAUAAACAAGGGAGAAAAAAUUGAAAUCAUGGGUUGUAUCAGUCCCAUCAACUAUGUCACCAAUUGCAGCAAUAUGGAGAAUAAACUGUGAUAGAUAUGUAGUAGGCUUGGCACUUAAUGAACCAAAAAAUCUCUUCCCAGCAUCUUUCAAAUCAUAGCCAACAGGCUGUGUGGUACUUUCUCCACCACCUGAACUCAUGGUCAUCUGUUUGACAACUUUCAACCCAAGUCCAAGAACCCCAUCCUUGUCAAGAUCAGCCAAAGCUUUCCGUUCCAUAUGUUGGUGAUCACAUUUUAUAAAAUUUAGCUCUGUUUCUUCAUCAGCAAUAGCUCUUGCAAGAUUAUGAAUCUUACCACUCAAAAACUGUCUCUUGCCCUUGUGAGCAUCUUCGAUCAUCUGAUGUAGCAUAGCAAGGGCACGUUCCUUUUGCCCCUGAUGAAUCAACUCCUUUGAUGUUGAAAUAACAAUCUCACCAGAUAGAAUUGCUUGGAGGCCUGGAUUUUCAUCUUGUUCCAACAACUCAUGCAAACGCUUGAGGACACGUCUAGACACAGAAAUGACUCCCACUUCAUGGAUCCGGUCCCAGUAAGUGGAGCCUGUCUUUGGAGAACCUCCAGGAUAGAUCUCAGAUAACAUGACUUGAGCCUGAUCCAGAAGUUGUUGGGACAUGUUUGCCGAUCUUGCACAAGUAGCAGCAACAUCAAUACAUAGAAGAAUUGCAGCCAAAGGACCCAACUGUGAACGCAGAGAAGAAAAAUCUAGCUCUUGCCCAGAUGUCCCAUCAGUAGCACGAGAUACUGCAUCUUCCACCAAUCUGGAUUCAGAUGCUCUUCGGAAAGCACCAUCAACCCAUUCAGCCAAUUCAAGGGUAGCUCUAUCUUCUGCAGAUAAUGAAAACCGAUGAACCGCUUCUUCCCCAAUAUCAUACUUUGCCCUUUGCAUGCAGAGGUUAAGAAGCUUGGAUGGGGCUGCCCGUAAAACGGUCAAUGCCUCCUUCCACCUCCACUGCCGCUCACAUAAUGGUAGAAGACGCUGCAAAAUUGACAACCGCCAUUGCCAAUCUUCAAUGAAAUGUUUAGCAAUAGAUAUUCUCCACUCUAAGGCCUGUCUUCCCCCCGUAUUCAUGGUAUCAUUUAGUGCAUGCUCUUCAAUGGUGCCUGGUGGAAGAUUGCGACGCAAGAUAUCGAGCAACAAUCCUGUGAAAGAAAUAACCAGUUUGUUUCCCCCUUCACAAGUAGUAACAUCAGUAUGCUCCCAAUGACACGUAGAGGGUGAUUCAGAAU
rnacentral:misc_RNA from 1 species